CUACUUUUGACAUCCAGAGAACUUAGCAGAGAUGCUUUGGUGCCUUCGGGAACUCUGAGACAGGUGCUGCAUGGUUGUCGUCAGCUCGUGUCGUGAGAUGUUGGGUUAAGUCCCGCAACGAGCGCAACCCUUAUCCUUUGUUGCCAGCGGUUGGGCCGGGAACUCAAAGGAGACUGCCAGUGAUAAACUGGAGGAAGGUGGGGAUGACGUCAAGUCAUCAUGGCCCUUACGAGUAGGGCUACACACGUGCUACAAUGGCGCAUACAAAGAGAAGCGACCUCGCGAGAGCAAGCGGACCUCAUAAAGUGCGUCGUAGUCCGGAUUGGAGUCUGCAACUCGACUCCAUGAAGUCGGAAUCGCUAGUAAUCGUGGAUCAGAAUGCCACGGUGAAUACGUUCCCGGGUCUUGUACACACGCACGUCACACCAUGGGAGUG
rnacentral:rRNA from 1 species